rnacentral:rRNA from 1 species
ACGGGGGGAGCAAGCGUUGUUCGGAAUCACUGGGCGUAAAGGGCGUGUAGGCGGUCAAGUAAGUGGGAUGUGAAAUGCCCCGGCUCACCCGGGGACCUGCAUCUCAAACUGCUUGGCUCGAGUAUGGGAGAGGAUGAGGGAAUUCCUGGUGUAGCGGUGAAAUGCGUAGAUAUCUGGAGGAAUACCGGUGGCGAAGGCGGCAUCCUGGACCGGCAUUGACGCCGAGGAGCGAAAGCUAGGGGAGCAAACGGGA